rnacentral:tRNA from 1 species
GUCCACUGAUAGCUCAGCUGGUUAGAGUGUGGUGCUGAUAAUACCAAGGUUGCAGGUUCAGUUCCCAUAAGGGACA